UAUUUUGCUUAGUAUUGGAUCUUAAAAAGUCCAGGACCAGAGUCCAACUGAAGUGAGCCAUCCAGUGUGAAUUUAGUAAUGCUUGAGCUGAUUAAACUUUGGUUCUUGGGGAGGGGCAGGAUGUUCAGUGGUGUGGAGUUUGAACCGUGUUUCUUGUGCUCUGUGUCUUGUUCUCUAAUGAGACUCUCCCUUAUGCAAUGCUCCAACCACGGGUGGCUGUCGUUGCCAUUGGGCAUUGCCUGUGUGUGCAACGGGCAGCUGGGCUGGGAUUCUGGGACUUCAUCCAGCAUUCAGACUUUAAAAGAAAUUGUUUGUCUUUCUCUUGAUUGCAAUACCAUACUUUUAAAUUGUAUUUGGAAUUAGAUGAGUCUGGGGGUGGAGGGGGGCGGUUUCUCAGCAUUUGUUUCGCUUCAUUUGAACAGUCCACAACUAAAACUGCUCUCAUUAAGCCCUUCUCUGAGAAUGCUAAUAAAGCAUCGUGGUAGGGAAGGAUGGCAGCCAUCCCACAGUUCCCUACCACAUGUGAAUUCAAGUUUCUGUGAGAGCUGAUGCUUUAAGGACUUGGUGCUUUGUUUUCUUUUCAGGCUGGGAGAACAUCAGCUUCUACAAUACUGCUUUGUUAAUGGAACCCCAGCAUGAGGCCUCAGGGUUUGUUUGGUUUUGUUUGGUUUUACACCAUUCUCAUCUCAAACCUCUGAGGGAUUUCAGGCCUGGCAUUCACACCUCAAUAACCUGCUUUCAUCAGCUUUUGGGGAGCUUUAGUUAAACUGUGAAACUGUUCCUUAGCUGUAUGUGUUGACAUUUCUUUGUGUGAUUUCAUGUUUCUCAGUGAGGACCUGCUUAUGUUUGUCACGUCAAGAUGAAAAAUUAACAGAUGGGAGUCAGGGAGACGGUUGGAGCCUCAAUCACCAGCAGCUCUGUAGAUCUUUGGUACCUGUAGGAACUCACCGUCUCCAACACCACUGCUGCGUUUUUCAGUAUUGGCCUGUUUGGUUCAAGGAACAGGUAACAAGGGACUGGAUAUCAGGAAAUUGCCUCUAAUUAUACCAGGGAAGUUUUGAUUAGACACUAGGAAUAUUUUUUCACAGGGUUGGAAAGGACUGAAAGACUGUCAAGGGCACCAUCCACCACCAUCCUGGAAGUGGCACCUGAGGACAGAGUUUAAUGGUGAACGUGGUUGUGAUGUUGGGUUGAUUGUUGAACUGGAUGAUCUUAAAGGGCUUUUCCAACCUCAGUGUUCCUGUGAUCCUAAGAAGUUUGAGGUGGGAAUGGUUGGCCAGCAGAUCAGCAGCAUGAGUGAGCAGCCCUCAGCUGGCAGAUGGGGUGUGCAGGAGUCAGUGCAGCUGGGGGCAGCUGUACCUAAAACAACUCAUCAUGUCUUUAUUUUCCUUUUAUUUAUUUUCAGGUGUACAGUUACAGCAUUUGUGAGAUUAAUGAUCAGAUUAUGUCUUUGAGCAAAAAGACUAUUCAGUGGUAGGAAUCAACAUUUGACUGAUAGGCUUAUUACAGACUGGGGAGAAAGAGUGUUUUUUAGUGUCUUUAAGUGUUUCUGCUAUUUUUUGAUGCAUUUAAGAAUGUUUCCCCUUUCUUAGUGAUUUCCUUGGUUGGGCUUUUUGCAGAGAAGCAUGGUAGGAGGAACAACAUUUUCUGGAAAAUGAGGAAACAUGAUUGUGAAAAAAGAAAAGGUUUCCUUUAGA